GGGGAGAGCGCCGGAUCUUGGGCUGUGUCCCCCCGUGCCCUUGGCUAUGGGGCUUGUACAGCUGGAAUCGUGCUCCCAGGCCACAGGGGCUCCUC
rnacentral:pre_miRNA from 1 species